CCCAAGAGAUCGGGAUAACACCUGGAAACAGAUGCUAAUACCGGAUAACAACAGAUGAUGCCUAUCAACUGUUUAAAAGAUGGUUCUGCUAUCACUCUUGGAUGGACCUGCGGUGCAUUAGCUAGUUGGUAGGGUAACGGCCUACCAAGGCGAUGAUGCAUAGCCGAGUUGAGAGACUGAUCGGCCACAUUGGACUGAGACACGGCCCAAACUCCUACGGGAGGCAGCAGCA
rnacentral:rRNA from 1 species